AUACUCUGGUUUCUCUUCAGAUCGAAUAAAUAUUUUGCCUUUUAAUAAAGAUUUCUGUGGAGAGGAUCAAUCAUGAGUUUCAUGGGAUCUUUUGAUGCCCGAUGCUCGCUGGGCU